rnacentral:lncRNA from 1 species
UCGACAUCGUCCUUGUUGUUGUUAUUGUUGUUGUUGUUGUUGUUGUUGUUGUUGUUGUUGUUGUUGUUAUUGUUGUUGUUGUUGUUGUUGUUGUUGUUGUCGUCGUUGUCGUCGUCUUCGUUUUGCUAUUGUCGUUAAUGUCGCUAUUGUCAUUGUUGUUCUUGUUAUCGUUCUUGUCGUUGUUCUCGUGACUGUCGUUGUUGUCGUCGGUGUCGUUGUUAUCGUCAUUUUCGUCGUCGUUGUCGUCGUUGUGGUUGUUGUUUUUGUUGUCGUUCUUGUCAUCGUCGUCAUCAGCGUAGUCUUCGUCGUUGUCAUCAUCGUCGUCAUCACCGUAGUCCUCAUCGUCGUCUUCUUUGUUUUCGUUGUUAUUGUUGUUGUCGUUGAUAUCGUUGUUCUCUU